AACCUCCGCAAUGUGAGAAAUCGCGACGGGGGGAUCCCGAGUGCCAUUCUUAACGGGAUGGCUUUUCAUUAGUGUAAAGAGCUUUUGGAAUAAGGGCUGGGCAAGACCGGUGCCAGCCGCCGCGGUAACACCGGCAGCUCUAGUGGUAGCAGUUUUUAUUGGGCCUAAAGCGUCCGUAGCCGGUUUAAUAAGUCUCUGGUGAAAUCCUGUAGCUUAACUGUGGGAAUAGCUGGAGAUACUAUUAGACUUGAGACCGGGAGAGGUUAGAGGUACUCCCAGGGUAGAGGUGAAAUUCUGUAAUCCUGGGAGGACCGCCUGUUGCGAAGGCGUCUAACUGGAACGGUUCUGACGGUGAGGGACGAAAGUUAGGGGCGCGAACCGGAUUAGAUACCCGGGUAGUCCUAACUGUAAACGAUGCGGACUUGGUGUUGGGAUGGCUUUGAGCUGCUCCAGUGCCGAAGGGAAGCUGUUAAGUCCGCCGCCUGGGAAGUACGGUCGCAAGACUGAAACUUAAAGGAAUU
rnacentral:rRNA from 1 species